GAUGAAGAACGUAGCGAAAUGCGAUAAGUAAUGUGAAUUGCAGAAUUCAGUGAAUCAUCGAAUCUUUGAACGCACAUUGCGCCCUCUGGUAUUCCGGGGGGCAUGCCUGUUCGAGCGUCAUUAUAACCACUCAAGCUUUCGCUUGGUAUUGGGGCUCGCGGUUCCGCGGCCCCUAAAAUCAGUGGCGGUGCCUGUCGGCUCUACGCGUAGUAAUACUCCUCGCGAUUGAGUCCGGUAGGUCUACUUGCCAGCAACCCCCAAUUUUUACAGGUUGACCUCGGAUCAGGCGGGGAUACCCGCUGAACUUAAGCAUAUCAAUAAGCGGAGGA
rnacentral:misc_RNA from 1 species